rnacentral:rRNA from 2 species
UUGGGGUGUGACUGCGUACCUUUUGUAUAAUGGGUCAGCGACUUAUAUUCUGUAGCAAGGUUAACCGAAUAGGGGAGCCGGAGGGAAACCGAGUCUUAACCGGGCGUUAAGUUGCAGGGUAUAGACCCGAAACCCGGUGAUCUAGCCAUGGGCAGGUUGAAGGUUGGGUAACACUAACUGGAGGACCGAACCGACUAAUGUUGAAAAAUUAGCGGAUGACCUGUGGCUGGGGGUGAAAGGCCAAUCAAACCGGGAGAUAGCUGGUUCUCCCCGAAAGCUAUUUAGGUAGCGCCUCGUGAAUUCAUCUCCGGGGGUAGAGCACUGUUUCGGCUAGGGGGCCAUCCCGGCUUACCAACCCGAUGCAAACUGCGAAUACCGGAGAAUGUUAUCACGGGAGACACACGGCGGGUGCUAACGUCCGUCGUGAAGAGGGAAACAACCCAGACCGCCAGCUAAGGUCCCAAAGUCAUGGUUAAGUGGGAAACGAUGUGGGAAGGCCCAGACAGCCAGGAUGUUGGCUUAGAAGCAGCCAUCAUUUAAAGAAAGCGUAAUAGCUCACUGGUCGAGUCGGCCUGCGCGGAAGAUGUAACGGGGCUAAACCAUGCACCGAAGCUGCGGCAGCGACGCUGAUGCGUUGUUGGGUAGGGGAGCGUUCUGUAAGCCUGCGAAGGUGUGUCGUGAGGCAUGCUGGAGGUAUCAGAAGUGCGAAUGCUGACAUAAGUAACGAUAAAGCGGGUGAAAAGCCCGCUCGCCGGAAGACCAAGGGUUCCUGUCCAACGUUAAUCGGGGCAGGGUGAGUCGACCCCUAAGGCGAGGCCGAAAGGCGUAGUCGAUGGGAAACGGGUUAAUAUUCCCGUACUUGGUGUUACUGCGAAGGGGGGACGGAGAAGGCUAUGUUGGCCGGGCGACGGUUGUCCCGGUUUAAGCGUGUAGGUGUGUGUUCCAGGUAAAUCCGGUUCACUUUAACACUGAGGCGUGAUGACGAGGCACUACGGUGCUGAAGCAACAAAUGCCCUGCUUCCAGGAAAAGCCUCUAAGCAUCAGGUAACAUCAAAUCGUACCCCAAACCGACACAGGUGGUCAGGUAGAGAAUACCAAGGCGCUUGAGAGAACUCGGGUGAAGGAACUAGGCAAAAUGGUGCCGUAACUUCGGGAGAAGGCACGCUGACACGUAGGUGAAGUGAUUUACUCAUGGAGCUGAAGUCAGUCGAAGAUACCAGCUGGCUGCAACUGUUUAUUAAAAACACAGCACUGUGCAAACACGAAAGUGGACGUAUACGGUGUGACGCCUGCCCGGUGCCGGAAGGUUAAUUGAUGGGGUCAGCGCAAGCGAAGCUCCUGAUCGAAGCCCCGGUAAACGGCGGCCGUAACUAUAACGGUCCUAAGGUAGCGAAAUUCCUUGUCGGGUAAGUUCCGACCUGCACGAAUGGCGUAAUGAUGGCCAGGCUGUCUCCACCCGAGACUCAGUGAAAUUGAACUCGCUGUGAAGAUGCAGUGUACCCGCGGCAAGACGGAAAGACCCCGUGAACCUUUACUAUAGCUUGACACUGAACAUUGAGCCUUGAUGUGUAGGAUAGGUGGGAGGCUUUGAAGUGUGGACGCCAGUCUGCAUGGAGCCGGCCUUGAAAUACCACCCUUUAAUGUUUGAUGUUCUAACGUGGACCCGUGAUCCGGGUUGCGGACAGUGUCUGGUGGGUAGUUUGACUGGGGCGGUCUCCUCCUAAAGAGUAACGGAGGAGCACGAAGGUUGGCUAAUCCUGGUCGGACAUCAGGAGGUUAGUGCAAUGGCAUAAGCCAGCUUGACUGCGAGCGUGACGGCGCGAGCAGGUGCGAAAGCAGGUCAUAGUGAUCCGGUGGUUCUGAAUGGAAGGGCCAUCGCUCAACGGAUAAAAGGUACUCCGGGGAUAACAGGCUGAUACCGCCCAAGAGUUCAUAUCGACGGCGGUGUUUGGCACCUCGAUGUCGGCUCAUCACAUCCUGGGGCUGAAGUAGGUCCCAAGGGUAUGGCUGUUCGCCAUUUAAAGUGGUACGCGAGCUGGGUUUAGAACGUCGUGAGACAGUUCGGUCCCUAUCUGCCGUGGGCGCUGGAGAACUGAGGGGGGCUGCUCCUAGUACGAGAGGACCGGAGUGGACGCAUCACUGGUGUUCGGGUUGUCAUGCCAAUGGCACUGCCCGGUAGCUAAAUGCGGAAGAGAUAAGUGCUGAAAGCAUCUAAGCACGAAACUUGCCCCGAGAUGAGUUCUCCCUGAGACUUAGAGUCUCCUGAAGGAACGUUGAAGACGACGACGUUGAUAGGCCGGGUGUGUAAGCGCAGCGAUGCGUUGAGCUAACCGGUACUAAUGAACCGUGAGGCUUAACCUUACAACGCCGAAG